GCCAGUGUGGUGUGGUGGUUUGAGUGUUGGACUACAACUCUGGAGAUCAGGGUUCGACUCCCUGCUUGGCC